rnacentral:lncRNA from 1 species
AAAGCCUAGCACGUGCCCCAACCAGAGGCACAACCGGAGGGUGGAGGGAUGUCCAGAAUUUGAAUCCCAAUUCACAUACCCUCCAGGGAGACCUCCUCGGGUCACAACUCUAUAAAGCUGCAUUCGCCCCCGCAACUGAGUGGGAGAGACGGAUGGGUCCCAUUCCCGCCCCGAAGAACCGGGGCUGGCCCAACCUGGACCACACCCCAAGAGGAUGGGAGACGCAGGCUGGCACCUCUCCUGCCCCGCCCCCCCUCCUUGGACUACCCCUCCCUCCCUCCCUCUGGACAGCCCCUCCCAUCCGCCCAGGCCUCGAGGGAGGAGACCACCUUAGGGAGUGAAGGAUGGGGGUGGGGGGGCGGACAUUUUUGAGACGUGACCAAGUGGAAACUCCCUCCCGGAGGCGGAAACCGGGAGCUCCCCCUCUGAGACCGGAGCUCUGGACUCCCCUCCUCCGCCCUAGAGGGAUCUCCGGGGAAGAGAGGACCGCAGCUGUUCCCAGACUCCUCUCCGCCCUCCCUCCCUCCCCCGGCUACCGGGUUGCCCUGGAGCACUUCAAGAGUCAUGAGACAACAUGGAAAAAGCGAAUGGUGGAAAGAGGACCAUCUCUUCAUAGCCCCAACAGCCACUCUCUUCACCCAAUUAAAUUCAAGAGGUGUGGAUUUGGGGCAAAUUCUCUUUCAUCUUCCCAGAAUACUAUGCCAUUUCUCUAUCUCUCUGUCCUGAGCUAUCUGCCUUCCUCUGCCCAGCUCAGGGCCAUCCCUGAGGCUCAAGACUAGCUUCUCAGUCAGUGAGAUAAAAUAACUCUCCCAGGAUUCUUUCAGGCAUCUCCUGGGAGGUCCUAGACCUCAUUAUGUAGCAGGAGGCAGCAUUAACACUCAUCUCUUAUCCCUCUCCUCUGACGGAGUUUAAACCAGUUCUACCACCCUUUGAAAGACCACUAAACUAAGUCAGCUUUUUUGGCUUCUGGUCGGCUACUACAGGGGAAUAAAGGAAGCAGGGAUCUGAGAGUGAGGGCCA